GUCAGUAACCCAGCCCUAAAGGGACUGGGCUUGCAAGAGUAAUCAAGCAAGCCGUACUGACCAGACCACCCUGAGCGACUUGCCCUGACUUGUGCCGAGCGAAGUCGAGGUAGCGAUGUCGAAGGGAGUCGAAGGGUAGCCGUUAUUUGAGUCACGACACCCACCGAAUGCGUUGCCAGUUCCCUGCUCUGUC
rnacentral:sRNA from 25 species